rnacentral:rRNA from 1 species
UACGGAGGGGGCAAGCGUUGUUCGGAAUCAUUGGGCGUAAAGGGCGUGUAGGCGGCCGAUCAAGUCGGGUGUGAAAUCCCUCGGCUCAACCGAGGAACUGCACUCGAUACUGGAUGGCUUGAGUGUGGGAGAGGGAUGCGGAAUUCCAGGUGUAGCGGUGAAAUGCGUAGAUAUCUGGAGGAACACCGGUGGCGAAGGCGGCAUCCUGGACCACGACUGACGCUGAGUGAGCGAAAGCCAGGGGAGCAAACGGG